AGGACUCACCGUUGGGGCAGCGGCAGCCGGGCUGGCAUCGCUCCUCCUGCCCGCAGACCAGGCCCUCCUGCAGGUCGCGGCAGUGCCGUGGGCAGCGGUUGGCACAGGCCACCAGCGCCAUGCCGGGUGGGCAGCCCUCCCCUGGCAGACAGCACCGUCAGACCCCCCCGGUGAACCUUGCGGUGACACCCCCGCCCCCCUCAAGCACCCCAAAGCCUCCCUGCCCCGUGCCCUACCGCAGGGCUGGGGGUUGCAGAGGCGCAGGUGGUGCCGCUCGCCGGGGCAGGGUCGCCCCCCGUUUUUGGGGGGAGGCCGGGUGCAGGAACGGCUGCGGACGGAGCGACCCCCCCCGCACGUCCGGUCACACCGCGACCAGGGACUCCAGGCUGACCAAGCACCGUCCACCUGGACGCUCUCCCCGCCGCAGCCCCCAGCCCGGCUGCAGGAGCGGCUGCGGCUCUUGGUGGCCGGAGCCUCCGGGUGGGUGCAGGUCUUGGAGCAGGGGGUCCAGGGGGACCAGGGGCCGAAGCCCUCCUCUUCCUCGGCGCCUGGCCCGGGACGAAGGCUCCCCAUCAGCGGGGUCAGCCAGGGGCGUGAGACUCCCCCCCAUCCCCGAGCCCCCCACCAGGGUCAGGGGUCCCGAGGCGGCAUCCCCCUCACCUGGGGUGGUGGGGCCAGGCUCCGGCGUGGGGACGGUUGUUGCUGGGGGGACGAAAGCAAAUACCGUGACAUCCCUAAACCCCCCGGCCCCUGUGCCUGGGCAGGAUCUGGCCCACUAGGGUGGGGUGGUGGGACCCAUGGCCCCAUGGGGCAGAGGGGAUGGAGAUGGGGAGGGGGCUGUGACCCAUGGCAGGGCAGAGGGGACAGGGAUGGGGUUGACCCACAGCAGGGCAGAAGGAACGGAGCUGUGACCCACGGCAUGACACGGAGAUGGGGCUGGGACCCAUGGCGAAGGGGACAGGAUGGGGCUGUGACCCACAGCGUGACAUGGGGACAGGGCCGUGACCCACGGCACAGGGGAUGGGAAUGGGCCGUGACCCAGGGACUGGCACCGGGGCUGUGACCGGGACCCACGGCAGAGGGGCCGGGACCCACCGGGGCAGUCGGGGCUCUGGCAGUACUUGCUGUCGGUGCGGGGGCCGGCACAGUCCCGGCCCCCGUUGGCGGGCGGGGGGCUGGUGCAGCCCCGCCGGCGGGUCAUCAGUCCCAGCCCCCCGCAGCUGGGAGAGCAGGGGCUCCAGGGACCCCAGGGCUCGAACCCCCCGUCCCGUCGGCAUCCCGGCUCCGAGCAGUGCAGCCGGCCAUGCAGGCAGGUGCUGGGCAGGGGGGCAGCCAUCAGGCAGGAGCCGUGGGGCAGGGGCCGGGUGCUGGGUGAUGGGGAAGGGGGCGGCGGGGUGGUGGGGAAGGG
rnacentral:lncRNA from 1 species